rnacentral:tRNA from 1 species
AGGGGUGUGGCUAAGUGAUAAGAGUUCUUGCCUAGCAUGCAUGAAGCCCUGGGUUUGAUGCCCAGCACUGCAA